CCUACGGGUGGCAGCAGUGGGGAAUAUUGCACAAUGGGGGAAACCCUGCUGCAGCGACGCCGCGUGAGUGAAGAAGUAUCUCGGUACGUAAAGCUCUAUCAGCAGGGAAGAAAAUGACGGUACCUGACUAAGAAGCCCCGGCUAACUACGUGCCAGCAGCCGCGGUAAUACGGAGGGGGCAAGCGUUAGCCGGAUUUACUGGGGGUAAAGGGAGCGUAGACGGCAGCACAAGUCUGGAGUGAAAUCCCGGGGCUGAACCCCGGAACUGCUGUGGAAACUGUGCGGCUGGAGUGCAGGAGGGGUAAGCGGAAUUCCUAGUGUAGCGGUGAAAUGCGUAGAUAUUAGGAGGAACACCGGUGGCGAAGGCGGCUUACUGGACUGUAACUGACGUUGAGGCUCGAAAGCGUGGGGAGCAAACAGGAUUAGAUACCCGUGUAGUC
rnacentral:rRNA from 1 species